rnacentral:miRNA from 2 species
UGGCAAGUCUCCUCGGCUACC